CUCGAACACAACCCUUUCACUAGAGACAACAAUUCAGUAUGCGCGUGCCCUCUAACAGACACGAAGAAGAAGAAAGAAGAAAAAAGUACUAUGCUUUUAGAAGAUCAAGGCUCAGGAAGGAGCGAGCUUCCAACGACUGCCUGGCGACUUCAAAUACUUGUCAAACAAAGAACAGAGCAGAAGACAGAGAGAAGAGAAGGGGCCCCGCUACUAUCCCGCGGCCUUCGUUUACCAAUUAUACUGAGUACCUGCUGACAGGUGGGUUGUCACAGUGUCUGCUUAGCCACCCAACUCCCCUCAUCUUCCCCCCAUCAACAUCCCAUCACUUUCCAUCCUGCUCUGUUGCAGUUUACCAGGUGCUGUGGAGAGGAAGCUCCUCGCACCUCCAGGCAAACAGAGAAGACAAAAGAAAAGGAGGAUAAAGAGGAUAUGGAGGAAGAUCAUGGAGAGUUUGGCUUCAAGACUCAGGCUUUGAUUUCGGAAAAAUUUAAGAGCGACAAGACAGAUGAUGAAAAGGUUAUCAGCGUUAAGGUGAGGAGUUGAGGGAGCUAUCUACUGCUUUUUGGCAGCACAAGUUUUUGAGGGCCAGUUGUAACUUUGUUGCCAAUAUUUCGUCAAAGUUAAAAAGACUUGAACCUAACCUAACCCCGACCACAAACUUUAUUUUUACUGCAGUA